UACGUAGGGGGGCAAGCGUUGUCCGGAUUUAUUGGGCGUAAAGAGCGUGUAGGCGGCCAGACAGGUCCGUUGUGAAAACUAGAGGCUUAAACCUCUAGACGUCGAUGGAAACCGUCUGGCUAGAGUCCGGAAGAGGGAGAAUGGGAAUUCCUGGGUGUAGCGGGUGAAAUGCGCAGAUAUCAGGAAGAACACCGUGGCUAAGGCGGUUCUCUAGUACGGUACUGACGCUGAGACGCGAAAGCGUGGGAG
rnacentral:rRNA from 1 species